rnacentral:rRNA from 1 species
UUUUUUAAUUGAAAACUCGUAUGAAUGGUUGAACGAAAUAUUAACUGUCUCAUAAAAAUUUUAAUUGAACUUUACUUUUUAGUUAAAAGGCUAAAAUAUAAUUAAAGGACGAGAAGACCCUAUAGAGUUUUAUAAUUUAAUAAUUAUAAUUUAUAAAGAAUAAUUAAAAUUUUAUUUAUUAAUAUUAUUUUGUUGGGGUGACAAUAAAAUUUAAUAAACUUUUAUUAUUUUUUUACAUUAAUUUAUGAAUUAUUGAUCCAGUUUUAUUGAUUAAAAAUUUAAAUUACCUUAGGGAUAACAGCGUAAUUUUUUUCUAGAGUUCAUAUCGAUAAAAAAGAUUGC